CUGGAAAAAGAAUAUCAUUAGUCUUUACCGUUACUUAAUUGGCUCUGCAUCAUUGAUGAGGGGGGUAGUCCUGGUGCCAUGUUAUCAUUGAGGUUGUUUGGAAUAUGAGCCCCACUUGGACCAAUCCCUCCAGGACCCAUUGUCAUGUUGGAAGUGGGAGGCUAGGAAGUUAAGAGAUAACGUUAUGUAGCUUGCCAGAAUAAGAACUUUAAACAUUAGUGUGGUUCUCGGUAGAGGGAAAUCAUGUCAGUAUUGCACU